rnacentral:rRNA from 1 species
UACGUAGGGGGCGAGCGUUGUCCGGAAUCAUUGGGCGUAAAGAGCUCGUAGGCUGUUCAGCAAGUCGGCUGUGAAAUUCCGAGGCUCAACCUCGGAACUGCAGUCGAUACUGCUGUGACUCGAGUCCGGUAGAGGAGAAUGGAAUUCCCGGUGUAGCGGUGAAAUGCGCAGAUAUCGGGAGGAACACCAGUAGCGAAGGCGGUUCUCUGGGCCGGUACUGACGCUGAGGAGCGAAAGCGUGGGGAGCAAACAGG